UACAGAGGGUGCGAGCGUUGUCCGGAAUCACUGGGCGUAAAGGGCGCGUAGGUGGUUGGGUAAGCGUGUGGUGAAAGCCCGGGGCUCAACCCCGGGUCGGCCAUGCGAACUGCCCGACUGGAGCACGGUAGAGGCCAAUGGAAUUCCGGGUGUAGCGGUGGAAUGCGUAGAGAUCCGGAAGAACACCGGUGGCGAAGGCGGCUCGCUGGACUGAUACUGACGCUGAGGUGCGAAAGCGUGGGGAGCAAACAGG
rnacentral:rRNA from 1 species